ACCAGGUGCAAUGCAAAGAUACCAGGCAAGCAGUGGAAAUCUAUUAGUGAAGGUCUCAGAGGGGAAUGAAGUGACAGCACUAUUUAAUUUGGUGACACAAUGGAUGAUCAUAUACAAGAAAUUGCUACUUUCAGCAUGAAGGAGGUAUAAUGGAGCCGUGGGCUGAGAUGGUGGCUCUCUGCAUGUAACUGUGAGUCAGCAGCAGGAACCGGUUCCAGAUGAAUGCAAGAUUUCAUCUCCGGGUCUUAGAAGGUCAAGCUGAUCUUCCAGAAAGGCCACCAUCUGUAGCAUUUAACUUUUUUUUUUAAUAUUCUGUCUUACAUUAUUCAUAAUUGUAAGCAACUGAAAUAUUCAAAUUAAAUCAUUUCAAAUGGAACAGAAGCAGUUUAAUACAAGCAUGAAUGUGGCAUCUUUUCACUUUUG